UGUUUGGAGAGAAAGAUUUGAGCAGUAAACAGAGUGGCUAGGAUUAAAAAAGUAAAAAGUAAAAAACAUAUAAGGAAUAAAAAUAAAAGAGUAAACAGAACGGUUAAAAUUUCACUAGGAUGAAAAUAUACAGAAAUCCCUCAUCUAUAGGUCCUAGUAUCAAGUGUUUCAGCGGGUCGGGAUCUGGGUCCGAAUUUUAAAACUAUUUCAGACCCUAUCCAUUAAAAUAUGAGGUUCGGGUCGGGUCCAAGUUGGGCAUGGAUAUAAAAUAUCCAGAUCCAAAUCCAAAAUUUUAAUGAAUAAAUUUUUUUAUCCGUAUACUAUCUAUUUUUUUAUCAUGUUAAGGAAAGGUCCGAGACGGAUAAGGGUGAUAGAGCAAAAUCAAAAUCUGAAUCAAAAUCUGCUCAUAGAAACCUAAUCAAAGGGAUUGAUUGGGU
rnacentral:lncRNA from 1 species